rnacentral:rRNA from 1 species
AUUGAACGCUGGCGGCAGGCCUAACACAUGCAAGUCGAGCGGAUGGAGGGAGCUUGCUCCUUUAUUCAGCUGCGGACGGGUGAGUAAUUCCUAGGAAUCUGCCUGGUAUUGGGGGAUAACGUCCGUAAACGGGCGCUAAUCCCGCAUACGUUCUUAUUUAGAACGUGGUGGAUCUUCGGACCUCACGCUAUCAGAUGAGCCUAGGUCGGAUUAGCUAGUUGGUGUGGUAAAGGCCUACCAAGGCGACGAUCCGUAACUGGUCUGAGAGGAUGAUCAGUCACACUGGAACUGAGACACGGUCCAGACUCCUACGGGAGGCAGCAGUGGGGAAUAUUGGACAAUGGGCGAAAGCCUGAUGCAGCCAUGCCGCGUGUGUGAAGAAGGUCUUCGGAUUGUAAAGCACUUUAAGUUGGGAGGAAGAGAAGUAAGUUAAUACCUGGAUGUUUUGACGUUACCAACAGAAUAAGCAACGGCUAACUUCGUG